rnacentral:rRNA from 1 species
GACGAACGCUGGCGGUGUGCUUAACACAUGCAAGUCGAACGGUAAGGCCCUUUCGGGGGUACACGAGUGGCGAACGGGUGAGUAACACGUGAGUAACCUGCCCUCAUCUCUGGGAUAACAGUCGGAAACGGUUGCUAAUACUGGAUAUGAGCUUGCAAGGCAUCUUGUGGGUUGGAAAGAUUUUUUUUGGUUGGGGAUGGACUCGCGGCCUAUCAGCUUGUUGGUGAGGUAGUGGCUCACCAAGGCUUCGACGGGUAGCCGGCCUGAGGGGGCGACCGGCCACAUUGGGACUGAGAUACGGCCCAAACUCCUACGGGAGGCAGCAGUGGGGAAUAUUGCACAAUGGACGGAAGUCUGAUGCAGCAACGCCGCGUGCGGGAUGACGGCCUUCGGGUUGUAAACCGCUUUCAAUUGUGACGAAGCUUUUUUGUGACGGUAGCAGUAGAAGAAGCACCGGCUAACUACGUG